CCAACCCAAUGUGACGUUACCAAACUGUUGCCUCGGCGGGAUCUCUGCCCCGGGUGCGUCGCAGCCCCGGACCAAGGCGCCCGCCGGAGGACCAACCAAAACUCUUAUUGUAUACCCCCUCGCGGGUUUUUUUAUAAUCUGAGCCUUCUCGGCGCCCCUCGUGGGCGUUUCGAAAAUGAAUCAAAACUUUCAACAACGGAUCUCUUGGUUCUGGCAUCGAUGAAGAACGCAGCGAAAUGCGAUAAGUAAUGUGAAUUGCAGAAUUCAGUGAAUCAUCGAAUCUUUGAACGCACAUUGCGCCCGCCAGUAUUCUGGCGGGCAUGCCUGUCCGAGCGUCAUUUCAACCCUCGAACCCCUCCGGGGGGUCGGCGUUGGGGAUCGGCCCUCCCUCUGCGGGGGCCGUCUCCGAAAUACAGUGGCGGUCUCGCCGCAGCCUCUCCUGCGCAGUAGUUUGCACACUCGCACCGGGAGCGCGGCGCGUCCACAGCCGUUAAACACCCAACUUUCUGAAAUGUUGACCUCGGAUCAGGUAGGAAUACCCGCUGAACUUAAGCAUAUCAAUA
rnacentral:rRNA from 1 species